UGACAGGAAAGGCAAUUUUUCCCUAUUACUACAGGUAUUACCCCAUUAGAAACAUGAAAAAACAAACACUUUUCUACAAUUUGUUCAAGGAAAAUCCCCUUGACUGGUAAUUCUUCUUCUCAUCUACAUAUCAAACAAUGAAUUGUGAAAGUCACACUGAAUGCCUGAUUAAUUGUGUUUGAAACUGAUUUACAUGAAUGUGAAGACAAUGUCCCCUUAUACUCUCCUUAGCACCAGGAUAUACCAACUAAAGAGGAAUAUUCCAUACUUUUCCACCAAAACAGCCUCAUUUGUGGAUAUCAGUAGAGCUGUACAAAUGGUGUCAGUCUCAUGAACGUUGCUAACAUUUUCCCUGUAAUCACUACUUGACAUGUUGUCUUAUCUUCACAGAUGUAGUUAAGGAGAAGAUUAUAUCUUCUUGCAGAAAAGUUCAUGGAAUUUUUAAAUGCCUGUUUAUUAUCAGAAGCAUUAAUGAAGAAGUAAAACAUUAGCGAUGCAUUUGGCAGAAGAUACAGAUUCCUGUUGAUUUCGUCCACAGCAAAAGCCAAGGGCAGAGCAAACUGGAAGUUUUGAGUUGACCUGAGACUUGAGUUGAAGGAAUUGAUGAAGACAACUCCCUCAAGACAAUGUGCUCCCAAAGUUCCUCACUCUCUGCACACUGUCCAGUUGUGAAUUCCUGUGUUAGUUCCUAUCUACUACAAGAAGAAUCUUCUCUGAUGAAAG